rfam:TPA: Bos taurus chromosome 5, whole genome shotgun sequence.
UCCCUGGUGGCUCAGUCAGUAAAGAGCCUGCCUGCAAUGCAGGAGAUCCGGGUUUGAUUCCUGGGGUGGGAA